AGAGUUUGAUCCUGGCUCAGGAUGAACGCUGGCGGUCUGCUUAACACAUGCAAGUCGAACGAAGUCUUCGGACUUAGUGGCGGACGGGUGAGUAACACGUGAGAAUCUGCCCUCAAGACGGGGACAACAGUUGGAAACGACUGCUAAUCCCCGAUGAGCCCAAGGGUGAAAAGAAAUUCGCUUGAGGAGGAGCUCGCGUCCGAUUAGCUUGUUGGUGAGGUAAAGGCUCACCAAGGCCACGAUCGGUAGCCGGUCUGAGAGGACGAUCGGCCACACUGGGACUGAGACACGGCCCAGACUCCUACGGGAGGCAGCAGUGGGGAAUUUUCCGCAAUGGGCGAAAGCCUGACGGAGCAAGACCGCGUGUGGGAGGAAGGCCUUCUGGGUCGUAAACCACUUUUCUCAGGGAAGAAGCUCUGACGGUACCUGAGGAAUCAGCCUCGGCUAACUCCGUGCCAGCAGCCGCGGUAAUACGGAGGAGGCAAGCGUUAUCCGGAAUUAUUGGGCGUAAAGCGUCCGCAGGUGGCUUUUCAAGUCUGCUGUCAAAGCCCGAAGCUCAACUUCGGAGAGGCAGUGGAAACUGGGAAGCUAGAGAACGGUAGGGGUAGAGGGAAUUCCCAGUGUAGCGGUGAAAUGCGUAGAGAUUGGGAAGAACACCGGUGGCGAAAGCGCUCUACUGGGCCGUAUCUGACACUCAGGGACGAAAGCUAGGGUAGCGAAUGGGAUUAGAUACCCCAGUAGUCCUAGCUGUAAACGAUGGAAACUAGGCGUGGCUUGUAUCGACCCGAGCCGUGCCGAAGCUAACGCGUUAAGUUUCCCGCCUGGGGAGUACGCACGCAAGUGUGAAACUCAAAGGAAUUGACGGGGGCCCGCACAAGCGGUGGAGUAUGUGGUUUAAUUCGAUGCAACGCGAAGAACCUUACCAGGGCUUGACAUGUCGCGAAUCUCGGUGAGAGCUGAGAGUGCCUUCGGGAACGCGAACACAGGUGGUGCAUGGCUGUCGUCAGCUCGUGUCGUGAGAUGUUGGGUUAAGUCCCGCAACGAGCGCAACCCUCGUCCUUAGUUGCCAGCAUUAAGUUGGGCACUCUAGGGAGACUGCCGGUGACAAACCGGAGGAAGGUGGGGAUGACGUCAAGUCAGCAUGCCCCUUACGCCCUGGGCUACACACGUACUACAAUGGUCGAGACAAAGGGCAGCAACUCCGCAAGGACAAGCGAAUCUCAUCAAACUCGGCCUCAGUUCAGAUUGCCGGCUGCAACUCGCCGGCAUGAAGGAGGAAUCGCUAGUAAUCGCAGGUCAGCAUACUGCGGUGAAUCCGUUCCCGGGCCUUGUACACACCGCCCGUCACACCAUGGAAGCUGGCCACGCCCGAAGUCGUUACCCUAACCGUUCGCGGAGGGGGACGCCGAAGGCAGGGCUAGUGACUGGGGUGAAGUCGUAACAAGGUAGCCGUACCGGAAGGUGUGGCUG
rnacentral:rRNA from 1 species